UGGUUCAAUAUACCCAAUCACACGUCCAUAUUGUCCUCGCCCUCCAGAUUGCUUCUUAUGUAAAUAAUCCAAAUCAGCAUGCUGAGUAACAGUUUCUCUGAAGUUUACACGGGGCUUUCCAACUGCAUCAACCUUGUAUUCCCUCACACUGCGUUCAUCAUAGAUAUCUAAGUGUGGUUCUCCCAUUCCAGAAAUGAUUGUCUGCCCAUUCCCUGGGUCCAAGCCAACACGGAAUGUAGGGUCCUCUCUUUGGAAGCGGUUCAAAGCUUUCGAAAAUUGCUCUCCAGAAUCUUUUGAGACAGGUUGUACAGCUAAAGACAUCGCAGGUUUAGGUACAUCAUAGAAGUCAUUGUGUAUUUAACCGACCCAUCAGUAAAAGUAUCUCCUUGGCUUGCUGUUUGUAUUAAUGUGGAGCUUCUGCGGUUUUUGCAGGUUGCAGUUUUGGGUUUAUGUUAUACACGUUUGGAUUUGGCUUGCAGCAGGUACUAGACUUAUAGCAGGCGGCGACAACAGAAACAAACCAUGUAUUCAAUGGCAUUUCCCUGGCGCACAUGGACUCUUGUUCACACUGACGGCACGGUACUGCUGGCUCUUGGAUUUGCAGGUCAGAGUAUGGUGCUGGAGGAUACCCCUGCGGUUCCUAAACGGUCUGUGGAAGCAUAAUGCAGGGAAGGGCAUGGGCGACUGUCAUGACAGGA
rnacentral:lncRNA from 1 species